CCUACGGGGAGCAGCAGUGAGGAAUAUUGGUCAAUGGUCGGGAGACUGAACCAGCCAAGCCGCGUGAGGGAUGAAGGUACAGAGUAUCGUAAACCUCUUUUGUCAGGGAACAAAGGCGGGGACGUAUCCCCGGAUGAGUGUACCUGAAGAAAAAGCAUCGGCUAACUCCGUGCCAGCAGCCGCGGUAAUACGGAGGAUGCGAGCGUUAUCCGGAUUUAUGGGGUUUAAAGGGUGCGCAGGCGGUCUGUUAAGUCAGCGGUCAAAGCCCGGGGCUCAACCCCGGCCCGCCGUUGAAACUGGCAGUCUCGAGUUGGAGAGAAGUAUGCGGAAUGCGCGGUGUAGCGGUGAAAUGCAUAGAUAUCGCGCAGAACUCCGAUUGCGAAGGCAGCAUGCCGGCUCCACACUGACGCUGAGGCACGAAAGCGUGGGUAUCGAACAGGAUUAGAUACCCUUGUAGUC
rnacentral:rRNA from 1 species